rnacentral:tRNA from 1 species
GCGAGAUGAGCUGGGCUUUAGUGAAGUCGUACAGACGAUAAACGUAGGUCGGGAGUUCGAGUCUCUCCAGGCGCGCCA